CCUACGGGGGGCAGCAGUAGGGAAUCUUCGGCAAUGGACGAAAGUCUGACCGAGCAACGCCGCGUGAGUGAAGAAGGUUUUCGGAUCGUAAAACUCUGUUGUUAGAGAAGAACAAGGAUGAGAGUAACUGUUCAUCCCUUGACGGUAUCUAACCAGAAAGCCACGGCUAACUACGUGCCAGCAGCCGCGGUAAUACGUAGGUGGCAAGCGUUGUCCGGAUUUAUUGGGCGUAAAGCGAGCGCAGGCGGUUUCUUAAGUCUGAUGUGAAAGCCCCCGGCUCAACCGGGGAGGGUCAUUGGAAACUGGGAGACUUGAGUGCAGAAGAGGAGAGUGGAAUUCCAUGUGUAGCGGUGAAAUGCGUAGAUAUAUGGAGGAACACCAGUGGCGAAGGCGGCUCUCUGGUCUGUAACUGACGCUGAGGCUCGAAAGCGUGGGGAGCAAACAGGAUUAGAUACCCCCGUAGUC
rnacentral:rRNA from 1 species